rfam:Eggerthella sp. CAG:368 genomic scaffold, scf65
AUGAUGAAGUCGGGAGAGAUCGUGUGGUUAUGCGCGCGGCGCCGAAGGGGAGGCAGAAACUCUCAGGCAGAAGGACCGAUUUCGGACG